rnacentral:rRNA from 1 species
GUCGAGCGGACAGAAGGGAGCUUGCUCCCGGAUGUUAGCGGCGGACGGGUGAGUAACACGUGGGUAACCUGCCUGUAAGACUGGGAUAACUCCGGGAAACCGGAGCUAAUACCGGAUAGUUCCUUGAACCGCAUGGUUCAAGGAUGAAAGACGGUUUCGGCUGUCACUUACAGAUGGACCCGCGGCGCAUUAGCUAGUUGGUGGGGUAAUGGCUCACCAAGGCGACGAUGCGUAGCCGACCUGAGAGGGUGAUCGGCCACACUGGGACUGAGACACGGCCCAGACUCCUACGGGAGGCAGCAGUAGGGAAUCUUCCAGCAAUGGACGAAAGUCUGACGGAGCAACGCCGCGUGAGUGAUGAAGGUUUUCGGAUCGUAAAGCUCUGUUGUUAGGGAAGAACAAGUGCGAGAGUAACUGCUCGCACCUUGACGGUACCUAACCAGAAAGCCACGGCUAACUACGUGCCAGCAGCCGCGGUAAUACGUAGGUGGCAAGCGUUGU